rnacentral:rRNA from 1 species
UACGAAGGGGGCUAGCGUUGCUCGGAAUCAUUGGGCGUAAAGCGCGCGUAGGCGGUUGCUUAUGUCAGAUGUGAAAGCCCUCGGCUUAACUGAGGAAGUGCAUCCGAAACUGGGCAGCUAGAGUACGAAAGAGGGUCGCGGAAUUCCCGGUGUAGAGGUGAAAUUCGUAGAUAUCGGGAGGAACACCGGUGGCGAAGGCGGCGACCUGGGUCGAGACUGACGCUGAGGCGCGAAAGCGUGGGGAGCAAACAGG